GGCUCCAUAGUUUAGUGGUUAGCACGUCUGCUUUACACGCAGAAGGUCCUGGGUUCGCUACCCAGGUGGAGGCA
rnacentral:tRNA from 1 species